rnacentral:lncRNA from 10 species
UGGACAAUCGCAGACCCAGGCCCAAGGUUUGCCCUGUCUCCUGCCUCCAUCUUUACAAAUCUCAUGCAUGAGGCCAACUCCCCUCCUACUGAUGACUCCAUCUCCUCCGUUGAUCUCAUCCAAACAACCUCAAGGCACUCCACUGGCACUUGAUUUUGUAGUCUUGUGUGUAUACAUUCCACUUCAUUAUGAGACGGUAGAUAGAGGCUAAGACAAUGGAUGAGCUUUGAAGUCAAAUGGACAAGCAUUCAAAUCCUGGCUCUAUCUCUGUGCCCUCCUGGCAAGUUACUGAACCUGUCUCACCUUCAGUUGCUUCGGCUAUAAAGGCACUGCUCUAGAUGGAGAUACAGCGUGAGACAAAU